UUUCUCCUGCGGUGUACGUGUAAGCGCAAAUGCGUCUACCCGUGUAAAAACCCACAUUUACGAAAGGGAGUCUGAAGAAUCUUUGUACGUGGUGAAGCAGGCCUCCCGCCUUUUCGGCUGUACUCGUUACCCCGAAAAGGCGGACGUUGGAAGCACUGAAGCGUACAAUAGGACACCCACCUGCUCAUAGCAGGGUUUCGUUCACGGGACACGGCACCCGCGGGGGCUUG
rnacentral:other from 1 species